rnacentral:pre_miRNA from 1 species
UAGUGUAGUUCACAUAGCAGUGAUUCACUCCUUCUGACCAUAGCGCUGUUGGACGUUAUGGUCAGAAGGAGUGAACUACGACUCCUGUGACUAUGCCAGU